rnacentral:rRNA from 1 species
GACGAACGCUGGCGGCGUGCUUAACACAUGCAAGUCGAACGAUGAAGCCGGAGCUUGCUCUGGUGAAUUAGUGGCGAACGGGUGAGUAACACAUGAGUAACCUGCCCUUGACUCUGGGAUAACUGCUAGAAAUGGUAGCUAAUAACGGAUACGACCCUCGGAGGCAUCUCCAGGGGGUGGAAAGAAUUUCGGUAAAGGAUGGACUCGCGGCCCAUCAGCUAGUUGGUGAGGUAACGGCUCACCAAGGCGACGACGGGUAGCCGGCCUGAGAGGGUGACAGGCCCCACUGGGACUGAGACACGGCCCAGACUCGUACGGGAGGAAGCAGUGGGGAAUAUUGCACAAUGCGCGCAAGCCUGAUGCAGCAACGCCGCGUGAGGGAUGACGGCCUUCGGGUUGUAAACCUCUUUUAGUAGGGAAGAAGCGAAAGUGACGGUACCUGCAGAAAAAGCACCGGCUAACUACGUGCCAGCCGCCGCCGUAA